UAUGCAGAAGUUCAUGACCAGUUUGAUGUUUGAGCUGUUUUUGGUUUUGCUGUUUGGUGUACAGUGGUUUUGCAGUCCCUUUCCGGUUGAGAGAUGCUCUUAAAUGGAGCUUGUGCAGACUUGCAGUUCAACAUCACACUUAAAUGUGUCAUUUGCCUAUGCUUGUGUCCGUGCAGUAUAUGCCGCGUUGAACAGUUGGGUUAAAUAGUCAAUGUUGCCUGAUUGCAUACUGUCAGUCAUUCCAACAAGCUGACUAGUAGCGCUCAGUCAAUUUCCAUCCAUUAGAUCCUCAUGCUGUCAAAAGCCUAAAACUCAUGCUUGAAGCCCACACAUAGAGGAAUACAAAUGUAUCGAGAUAAUAAGAUAUUCUUUCUCAUGAACCAUAGAAUCUUUUCUGAAUUCUUCGCAAUUUUGGUGGCGUCACGCUUGAAGGUCACGAGAAACAUUACGUAAAACUGGCAUGUGGUGCGGUGGUUUAGAGGCUGGGUGAGAACGACACGUGUUUCAACAUUAUCAAGCAGACCCAUCCCCAGCAACGUCACCUGCAGAAGAAAAGGCCAGUUUGCAUUUCAAUCGAAGGUCAUGGAGAUCAUUACGUUAAACUUGUCAUGCAGUGGUGUAGAGGUUGGGUGAGAACGGAAAGUUUUGUAUCAUUAUCAUCAAGAAGGUAAAAUAACCGCAAGGCUUAAGAGGAGGAGUGAGAAAAAGUUGUAUAAAAGCCGAGAGAAAAGUCGACAGGGAUCAGUCGAGUGAGCAUCUCCGGACACGGCAACAACUGCAGUGCACUUGUUGCCAUCCGCUCUCAGCUGCUAUCAACAGUUCGCAAUCAUGGUUGUAUAUAAGGACAAAGAAAAGGCGAAAGAAAUCAGUCGAGUGAGCAUCUCAUACAAGAGCUGCAGUGCGCCAUUCGUCACCAACUGCAUUCUUCCUCGAAUUGCUAGUUUUAAAUCAUGGUAAACUACGUAUGGCGUCAUGCUGCCUUAGGGUGUUGUAUAGCUGACGGCUGGUUCAGCAAUGGUGUACGAAUGUCUCCUGGGUAUGCCUGAUAACAAUCGCAACGCCGCUACUUUACUACACAACAUACGACACGAUCAGUAACUACACCAAGGCCCCCAAGUACUACGCCACCAAGGCUCUAGAUUAUUAUACCACAACUUAUGCUGCCCUGAGCUACUACACCGAAGCCCCGAAGUAUUAAUCUUCCUCGAGCUACACUACUGGAUGUUCGAGUACUACACCGAUGCUCCGAAGUACUACACCACCAAGGCACCGGAGUACCGCGCAACUACAUAUCAUGGUUGUUAAAGAAAGAAAAGGUGAAAGAAAUCAGCCGAGGUUAUCUCCGACACGAUAACAGCACUGCAGUGCCAAGUCUCAGUAUUACACCACAACUUAUGUUGCCCCGAGAUACUACACCAAAGCGCCUGAAUGCUAUAUUGAGGCCACUAAUUACUACACCACAAGGCACCGUAUUACUACACUGCAACAUACGCUGCUCCAGCUUAAUACACCGAGGCUCCCCAACACGACACCACCAAGGCAACGGAGUACUACACCACUAUAGGUCGUAUGAAAGGAGAUAAAAGGUGAAGUAAUUCAGCAGCCGAGUGAGCAUCUCCGUUACAGCAAUAGGAACUGCCGUGCACUAGUUGUCAUCAACUUCAUUCUUCGUCGCGUUACAAGUGUUAAAUAAAGUUAACUAAUAACUAUGGCGUUGUACUAAUCUUGGGUGUCGUAUCGUUGAUGGCUGGGUCGACCACUGGUGUACCGAUGUCUCCCGGGCAUGGCGGGUAUCAAAGCACAACACUGCCGUGCCGUCUUACUAUUUAGCAUCAACUUCCGCUGCUCCAGCUUACUACAUUGAGGCUCUAGAGUGCUACACCACCGAGGCUCCAAAGCAUUACACCACAACUCAUGUUGCCCCGAGCUACUACACUGAAUGCCCGAAGUAUUAUUCUUCACCGAGCUACACUACCAAAGGAUCGAGUACUACGUCGAGGCUCCCGAGUACUACAUCACCAAGGCACCGGAGUACAAAAACGAUCGAAUACUACACAGAAGAAAUCAUGGAAAAUAUGGCGUCGUGCUGCUGCGAGUGUUGUAACGUUGAUGGCUGGAUCGACCACUGGUGUGCCGAUGUCUCCUGUGUAUGGCGAGCAUCAAUAGCAACAUACGCAACAACCGGAUACUACACUAAGACCCCAAGUGCUACACCACCAAGGCUUCAGAGUAUUACACCACAGUUUAUGUUGGUGCGAGCCACUACGCAGAAGCUCCGAAGUAUUUUUCUUCCCCGAGUUUCACCACGCCGCUUCAUCUCUAAACGACAACGUCAACACCUUCUUAUUAUACGAAGGCCUCCAAGUACUACGCCACGAAGACUCCUGACCUCUAUACCGAGAAUCUAACUUGUUACACCACCGAAGUUCCCAAGUACUGCACUACAACCUACGUUGCCCCAGCGACUGGAGUGCUACACCACGCAGGCACUGGAAUGCUACACCACGCAGGCACUGGAGUGCUACACCACGCAGGCACUGGAGUGCUUCACCACGCAGGCACUGAAGUGCUACACCACGCAGGCACUGGAGUGCUACACCACGCAGGCACUGGAGUGCUACACCACGCAGGCACUGGAGUGCUACACCACGCAGGCACUGGCAUGGUAAACCGAAGCUCCAGUUUACUACACUACAACCUACGCUGAUCUAAAGUACUCUAAUGCUCCAAAGUACUACACCACCAAGGCAUCAUAGCAUACACCACCUGCUACAUCGAAGCUCCGAAAUCAGUACUCUGCCUCGAGUUACCAAACCACUAAGGCAGCCGAUAAUAUUACACUACGAUCCUGCAAUUUUCUACAAGGAAUUACCCAAAUACUAAAGCCGAAAUUUCUACUUGA